GUUGGUAUUUCAAGGGAAGAUGGGCGAUUCCGAACAAUCCUCUGUCCCCAGCAAUGAAGGCAGCGAUGCUGAGGCCAGUGAGGACGACCAACAGCCCACCGCCGCGUAUGGUUGGGGCAGGGAGCCCAGAUACUCUGCUGAGGAGCUGCCAUCGCGUGUAACAAAUGUUGAGGAAGAAGAUGCUUCAGCAGCUGCGUCCGACAGAAGACGAGUAGCUUGGCCACCAGAAUCUCGAUUCGUUUGGGACUCCGACUGGUGCGAGCGUGGACAAAAGUGUAUAGCCAUGCCCAGCCCGCGGGAAUGAUUUUGCUGGAAGGAUGCUGCCGUCGCUGUCGACAAGACGGCCCAAGGUUUCUUGCGUAGCGGACCUCGCAGAUUACGAGAUCGUAUCCUUGCAUUAGGCUGUGCCCAUCACUGCUCUUCGAGGUUAUCUCGACAUGCAGAAGCCGCCAAUGCCAGUGACAGAAGAGUCUGACAUUAGAUCUCUACGCCAUGCGGCACACAGGCAGUACACACUAUGUACACGGCAAAUUGGGCAAGCACGUUGGUUGUCGUCUUCCAGCCUGCGUUGUGAAUACCAUCAGGCAAAGAUAUCCAAAUCCUGCACCACCUCAACCUUCUCAGGAGGCUUCCACCUGGAAUUUGGCAGGGAAACACGCUUCUCCAAGGCAGGAACAUUGAGGUUGCCAUUUGCAACCGCUACCACCUCACACAUGAGCUUGUCAACAUACUCAUAGCUCUUUCUGUCGUAUAAUUUUCUAUUUGGCCACAGUCUUCUUUAUGCUUUGAGAACUGGACUUUAUACCUUCC